UUUUAUUGGUGCCUUUCAAGGCUUGAAUGGGAAUCGGGUGGAAGUCCCGAACAGUCCCGCUGCUGUAACUCCAAUAAAUGGUGUCGAGAAUAUGUCACUGAAGAAAUUUGGGAAGACCUCGAUAAACACCGGAGAAGUCAGAAGACCAGCCAAUAAAAUU
rnacentral:ncRNA from 1 species